rnacentral:rRNA from 1 species
GUUGAACGCUGGCGGCGUGCUUAACACAUGCAAGUCGAACGAUGAAGCCCAGCUUGCUGGGUGGAUUAGCGGCGAACGGGUGAGUAAUACCUGAGAAACUUGCCCUUGGUUCUAGGAUAAGUCCGGGAAACUGGGCUUAAUACUGGAACGGAAUGUCUACCGCAUGGGGGGAGCUUGAAAGAAUGGGGGUUAUGGAUGGACUCGCGGCCUAUCAGCUUGUUGGUGAGGAAAUGGCUCACCAAGGCGACGACGGGUACUCGGCUUGAGAGGGUGACCGGCCACACUGGGACUGAGACACGGCCCAGACUCCUACGGUAGGCAGCAGUGGGGAAUAUUGCACAAUGGUCGAAAGCCUGAUGCAGCGACGCCGCGUGAGGGAUGACGGCCUUCGGGUUGUAAACCUCUGUCAGUAGGGAAGAAGCGAAAGUGACGGUACCUGCAGAAGAAGCACCGGCUAACUACGUG